UACAGAGGUCCCAAGCGUUGUUCGGAUUCACUGGGCGUAAAGGGCUCGUAGGCGGCUCAGUAAGUCGGGUGUGAAACCUCCAGGCUCAACCUGGAGACGCCACUCGAUACUGCUGUGGCUAGAGUCCGGUAGGGGAGCAUGGAAUUCCUGGUGUAGCGGUGAAAUGCGCAGAUAUCAGGAGGAACACCAGUGGCGAAGGCGGUGCUCUGGGCCGGAACUGACGCUGAUGAGCGAAAGCGUGGGGAGCGAGCCGG
rnacentral:rRNA from 1 species